rnacentral:rRNA from 1 species
UACGGAGGGUGCGAGCGUUGUCCGGAAUCACUGGGCGUAAAGGGCGCGUAGGCGGCUCGGUAAGUAGGGGGUGAAAUCCUGCGGCUUAACCGCAGGGCUGCCUUCUAAACUGUCGAGCUCGAGCACGGUAGAGGCAGAUGGAAUUCCCGGUGUAGCGGUGGAAUGCGUAGAGAUGCGGAGGAACACCGAUGGCGAAGGCAGCCCCCUGGGUCGACACUGACGCUCAGGCACGAAAGCGUGGGGAGCAAACAGG